UAAAACGUAGGAGGCAAGCGUUAUCCGGAGUUACUGGGCGUAAAGCGCAUGUAGGCGGUUGGGCAAGUUGAGUGUGAAAGCUCCCGGCUAAACUGGGAGAGGACAUUUAAGACUGCCCGGCUAGAGGUCGGUAGAGGGGCGCAGAAUUCGGGGUGUAGCGGUGAAAUGUGUAGAGAUCCCGAGGAAUACCAGUGGUGAAGACGGCGCCCUGGGCCGAUACUGACGCUGAGAUGCGAAAGCGUGGGGAGCGAACGGGAUUAGAGACCCCGGUAGUCCACGCCGUAAACGAUGCUUGCUAGGUGUCCACUUCCCGACAGGGAAGGGGGUGUCGAAGCUAACGCGCUAAGCAAGCCGCCUGGGGAGUACGGUCGCAAGGCUA
rnacentral:rRNA from 1 species